rnacentral:ncRNA from 1 species
AUAAUGAUACUUCCGUAAUUCGCGGCCCGGUCACAAACCAUACGCGGUGGCUGAAAUGCCAAUGA